rnacentral:rRNA from 1 species
GCGUUGCUCGGAAUGACUGGGCGUAAAGGGCGCGUAGGCGGAUUGAUCAGUCGGACGUGAAAUUCCUGGGCUUAACCUGGGGGCUGCGUUUGAGACGGUUGGUCUAGAGUUUGGAAGAGGGUCGUGGAAUUCCCAGUGUAGAGGUGAAAUUCGUAGAUAUUGGGAAGAACACCGGUGGCGAAGGCGGGUCUCUGGGCAAAUACUGACGCUGAGGAGCGAAAGCAUG